CCUACGGGAGGCAGCAGUGAGGAAUAUUGGUCAAUGGACGCUAGUCUGAACCAGCCAUGCCGCGUGAAGGAUGACUGCCCUAUGAGUUGUAAACUGCUUUUGUACGAGGGUAAAGUGCGGUACGUGUACCUCUCUGCAUGUACCUUACGAAUAAGGAUCGGCUAACUCCGUGCCAGCAGCCGCGGUAAUACGGAGGAUUCGAGCGUUAUCCGGAUUUAUUGGGUUUAAAGGGUGCGUAGGCGGGGUGUUAAGUUAGUUGUGAAAGUCCGCGGCUCAACCGCGGAAUUGCCUUUGAUACUGGCAGGCUAGAGAGGAGUAGAGGUAGGCGGAAUGUGUGGUGUAGCGGUGAAAUGCUUAGAGAUCACACAGAACACCGAUUGCGAAGGCAGCUUACCAGACUGCAACUGACGUUGAGGCACGAAAGCGUGGGGAGCAAACAGGAUUAGAUACCCCUGUAGUC
rnacentral:rRNA from 1 species